rnacentral:rRNA from 1 species
GACUCGGCGGAGGCGACAGUGGGGAAUAUUCCGCAAUGGGCGAAAGCCUGACGGAGCGACGCCGCGUGAGCGAUGAAGGUCUUCGGAUCGUAAAGCUCUGUUGUUAGGGAAGAACAAGUACCGGAGUAACUGCCGGUACCUUGACGGUACCUAACCAGAAAGCCCCGGCUAACUACGUGCCAGCAGCCGCGGUA